GGGACGAACGCUGGCGGCGUGCUUAACACAUGCAAGUCGAGCGGAAAGGCCCUUCGGGGUACUCGAGCGGCGAACGGGUGAGUAACACGUGAGCAACCUGCCCUUAGCUUCGGGAUAGCUCCGGGAAACCGGAAUUAAUACCGAAUAUGACUUUGGCUGACAUCAGCAGAAGUGGAAAGUUUUUCGGCUAGGGAUGGACUCGCGGCCUAUCAGCUAGUUGGUGAGGUAACGGCCCACCAAGGCGACGACGGGUA
rnacentral:rRNA from 1 species